AAUAGAUACCCGGGUAGUCCACGCUGUAAACGGUGGGUACUAGGUGUGGGGUCCAUUCCACGGGUUCCGCGCCGUAGCUAACGCUUUAAGUACCCCGCCUGGGGAGUACGGCCGCAAGGCUAAAACUCAAAGGAAUUGACGGGGCCCCGCACAAGCGGCGGAGCAUGCGGAUUAAUUCGAUGCAACGCGUAGAACCUUACCUGGGUUUGACAUGGAUCGGGAGUGCUCAGAGAUGGGUGUGCCUCUUUUGGGGUCGGUUCACAGGUGGUGCAUGGCUGUCGUCAGCUCGUGUCGUGAGAUGUUGGGUUAAGUCCCGCAACGAGCGCAACCCUUGUUCACUGUUGCCAGCACGUUAUGGUGGGGACUCAGUGGAGACCGCCGGGGUCAACUCGAAGGAAGUGGGAUGACGUCAAGUCAUCAUGCCCCUUAUGUCCAGGGCUUCACGCAUGCUACAAUGGCUGGUACAGAGAGUGGCGAGCCUGUGAGGGUGAGCGAAUCUCGGAAANCCGGUNUCAGUUCGGAUUGGGGUCUGC
rnacentral:rRNA from 1 species